GACGAACGCUGGCGGCGUGCUUAACACAUGCAAGUCGAACGGAAAGGCCCUGCUUUUGUGGGGUGCUCGAGUGGCGAACGGGUGAGUAACACGUGAGUAACCUGCCCUUGACUUUGGGAUAACUUCAGGAAACUGGGGCUAAUACCGGAUAGGAGCUCCUGCUGCAUGGUGGGGGUUGGAAAGUUUCGGCGGUUGGGGAUGGACUCGCGGCUUAUCAGCUUGUUGGUGGGGUAGUGGCUUACCAAGGCUUUGACGGGUAGCCGGCCUGAGAGGGUGACCGGCCACAUUGGGACUGAGAUACGGCCCAGACUCCUACGGGAGGCAGCAGUGGGGAAUAUUGCACAAUGGGCGGAAGCCUGAUGCAGCAACGCCGCGUGCGGGAUGACGGCCUUCGGGCUGUAAACCGCUUUCUCCUGUGACGAAGCGUGAGUGACGGUAAUGGGUAAAGAAGCACCGGCUAACUACGUG
rnacentral:rRNA from 1 species